rnacentral:rRNA from 1 species
CAGAAGUGGGAAAUAUUGCCCAAUGGGCCAAAGCCUGAUGCAGCGACGCCGCGUGGGGGAUGACGGUCUUCGGAUUGUAAACCCCUUUCAGUAGGGACGAAGCGCAAGUGACGGUACCUGCAGAAGAAGCACCGGCUAACUACGUGCCAGCAGCCCCGGUAAAACGUAGGGGGCGAGCGUUUUCUGGAAUUACUGGGGGUAAAAAGCUCGUAGGCGGUUUGUCACGUCGUCUGUGAAAUCCCUCGGCUUAACCGGGGGCGUGCAGGCGAUACGGGCAGACUUGAGUACUACAGGGGAGACUGGAAUUCCUGGUGUAGCGGUGAAAUGCGCAGAUAUCAGGAGGAACACCGGUGGCGAAGGCGGGUCUCUGGGUAGUAACUGACGCUGAGGAGCGAAAGCAUGGGUAGCGAACAGGAUUAGAUACCCUGGUAGUCCAUGCCGUAAACGGUGGGCGCUAGGUGUGGGGUCCUUCCACGGACUCCGUGCCGUAGCUAACGCAUUAAGCGCCCCGCC